GCUGGUGUGUGUGGGAGGGGACGGGAUGAUCAGUGAGGUUGUCCACGGCCUGGACCCAGAGUGAUUCCAGAGUGGACCAGAACCAAUCGAACCAGGACCUGGUUCCAUGUGUGCUCCGCAUUGGAAUCAUCCCUGCAGGUGACUCCCAACUCAUGGACGUGUGUUCUGUCCGUCACAACAACACCUUCCUCAGGUAAGUCUCGCUGCUCGGAUACGGUUUCUACGGAGACCUCCUGAUGGACUGCGAAAGGAAGUGCUGGAUGGGGCCUCCCAGAUACGAUCUCUCAGGUCUAAUGAUGUUCCUGACCCAUCAGUAUUAUGAAGGGAGUCGCUUUCCUGCCCGCUGAGGACAAACCUGGGGAAACCUAGAGACAAGGUCAAGUGCAGAACUGGGUGCCAUAUCUGUGAGCAGGUUGCCAACAAUAGGCAGCCCCUCUUAGGGGAUCAUGUCUACUAGAUGGCUGAAGAGGACUCUGACAAGGUUUGACAUGUCCUUCAUGGAGGUGCACUGUGUGCGGGAGAUCCGGUUUGUUCCGAAGCACAGCAAUGGGAUCUCAGAGGUGGACCCGAGUGAGGCCAGUGGGAAGAAGAUCUGUAACCAGGUCUGUACGGCCCAUCCCAGCUACGACACAGGCCAUAGCAACUGGAACUGUGAUGAGGAGAUCAUGCCUCAUGCGGCUAUACAUGUCAGUGUUCACUGCCUGCUGAUCAGACUAUUUGACCGAGGUGUUGAAAGAGGGACCAUAAUAGGAUCAAAUCUCUCGUGGCAAGCAAAC
rnacentral:lncRNA from 1 species